rnacentral:rRNA from 1 species
GACGAACGCUGGCGGCGUGCCUAAUACAUGCAAGUCGAGCGGAAGUUGAAGAGCUUGCUCUUCAACUUUAGCGGCGGACGGGUGAGUAACACGUGGGCAACCUGCCCUGCAGAUCGGGAUAACUCCGGGAAACCGGUGCUAAUACCGAAUAGUUUUCGCCACCUCCUGGUGGCGUACGGAAAGACGGUUUCGGCUGUCACUGCAGGAUGGGCCCGCGGCGCAUUAGCUAGUUGGUGGGGUAACGGCCCACCAAGGCGACGAUGCGUAGCCGACCUGAGGGGGUGAUCGGCCACACUGGGACUGCGACACGGCCCAGACUCCGACGGGAGGCAGCAGUAGGGCAUCUUCCGCAAUGGACGAAAGUCUGACGGAGCAACGCCGCGUGAGUGACGAAGGUUCUCGGAUCGUAAAACUCUGUUGUGAGGGAAGAACAAGUACCAACUAACUACUGGUACCUUGACGGUACCUCACCAGAAAGCCACGGCUAACUACGUGCCAGCAGCCGCAGUAAGAC